AAAGAAUUGGACCUGUAUUACUUCAAAUUUUCACUGUGUAGAGUGAAAGAAAAUUUCUGACGUGACAGACAAGACGAGCUACUGAUGCGAAUCUCGGAUCGGUGACGGAACCUCGGGAAAAAAAUGGCAACUUGCAAUCUUGAUCGACCACUUGUCUUACACCGAUGUCUACACUCCUCUCCUGCUAGAGAGGGAAGGUGAUUUAACAGAAAUUAAAUUCGAGCACUAGCGUAGCUGAUCCAGUUCACAACUAGUUUCUCCAAGCUUACCAGUCC
rnacentral:lncRNA from 1 species